CUCUUGCUAUUGAUAAAUAGAAAUGAUUUGAGAUGCAUUCUCAUAGGAACCGUACAGUAAUUUGUAGACAUGAAAAGGGGUCCUAACUAGAACAUUCCUAAAAAUCUCUAGGCACUCAUUUGUUUAUAUUAAAUCGAUCACCUUAUAAUAAUCACACAUGCAGCAGAGUUUUCUGAAAAAAAGAAAACAUGUAGCCAUCUUGACACCUGUUAAAACGAAUUUUCUAUUGUUUAUAUAGGCUUCCUUUCUGCAGACAAUUAUGCUGUAUAUCACCAUAACAAGAGACAAACCAAGAGCUCCACCAAUUUCAGAACACAUAGCCACUGUUCCAGUCGAAAUACCAGAUGCAGAAUGUGACCACUGCCCCAUAUCAGGCUUAGGAUAUAUAGACCUGAUAUAGGCCCAUGGCUGUCAUGAUGACCACGAACUCAAGCCACUCCAACUCAUAAGAAAGGGUGGUUGAAGAACCAUAAAUCUGGGGAACUCCACUGACAGCCCAGAAAUGGAGUCAGGGAGGUUACUGUGCAGCUGGAAUGUUGGUACUACAGCAACAACCUCAACUAAUUCCUAUUCAUAACAAUCCUAAUGAUCCCAACAAAAACAACUGGGACUG